rnacentral:pre_miRNA from 1 species
CUUUUAGUGUAGGUAUAUCCCAUGCCAUGUUUGGGAUAUACUUAUACUAAAA